GCUGCUUUGUGAAGAAGAAAGAGUCAGUGCUCUGAGGAGCUGCCCAUGAGAAACGCCAAGAAGGUUAGUGUAAAUUGUCUUUUUACUUGGUCACUUGCAAAAAGCCAUGCUGUAUUGCUUCUCUGCAGAAAGCAUUCCAGCUUCCUGAUGACAUCUUGUCCAUGAAGUGGCGCUCUCAGGAUGUGUGAGAAACUGGAAGGCAACCAAAACAGAACAUUAACCCAAGGGAGCACAAAGCCAGUGACUCCUGCUCACUGUGGCAUCCUGGGAGCACUGACCGGGUGGGAUUGAGCAUUGCUUGAGACAGAUGUACCUGUUCUGUGGCAAACACAGACUUGCACCUGGAUUUCUGCCUCCCCAGAGUGAGAUUUCCCUCCUACCUGUUGUCAGCUCUGAAAAAGGAGUGGAACUGUGAUAUCACCAGAAGUCUUUUCCCAGAUGCCAAGGGAAGCAAAGAGAAAUACCUAUUAGUGCUGAGCUUUUGAUGAGGAUUCCACAAAAGUAAUGACCUAUCUACAGGGCUUUAUACCCACCCCAGUGCAACAGGAGAUAAACACAGUGCCCUUGAAAUUAUUUGGGAGUUUCACCCUCAAACAUGGGAAUUAAAGUAGUUAAUCUACUGCCAUGAACACUAAAUCCAGCAGAAGAACAAAAAAGAGGAACAAAACCCUGAACUUUGAUUGAGAAAUCAUUUCUGUGCAUGAAGAACUUGUUACUAAGAAAGUACUCUAUUUUCUUUUCUGAUCUUGGAUACAGGGCAGACUUAUUUGAAUGUUUUUAUUUAUCAGGCAGAAUUUAACACCAUUGAAGUUGUUGGACUUCUACUCUCCUGGGAGUAAAAACUGAGACUUUGCCUUACAGACAACUGCAAAACUAAUGGUUUUAUAUUUACUUACUUCCUUCCUUCAGUUUAAUAACCACCUUAGGUAAGAAGUCACAGAGGAACAAUGUUUGUAACAAGUGUGUACAAGAGGGAAGGAGCCAAGAGAAGGUAAGGAUGGAGAAUACCUACACCAGUUCUACACUUUCAAAAAACGUGCAGAAGACUUGAAUCUAGUUUAGUAACCAGUCUUCAAGUAAGCUCAGUGCUGAAUUCAGAAAAAAAAAUCAGAUCUAGUGACUGAGAAUCUACAGAAACAGUGAGGGAGGAUCGACUCAGCAAGUUCUUGAAUUUUUAAGAAAUGUUCUGUUCUUCCAUUUCCAGCCCACAUGCCAGACACAUACCUCCCUUCAGGGUGAAAAAGUGCUUGCCCUUUUUGAGUAUGACUAAGCAGAGGGCUGUUUUAUAAACUGGAAAGUUCCUGCAGAAGCCAAUGCACAUGUCUGGAGCAGAGUGUUUGCACUUGGGCGGAGGGUAAACAGUGUUUUGGUUUCUAAGCUUUUUGUAACUCCAAGUACAUCAGCUGAGCUGAGAGCUGGUCACUGCAGUGACAAAAGCUUGCUCUGUCAGAUGAUUUAAUGCAAUGCAUUGAGAGUGGUGCUCCCUGAUACAGCACCCCAUGCUGUUUUGCUCAGACUGGGAAGGCUGGCAGCAGCCAUGAAGAGCUGUGUGCUUCCCCUGUAACCUCACACUUGUUACACCCCAGGCACUGCAACGAGCUGUGGCAAAAGCUCCUUGGGUGGGGUUAUGUCUUGCUUUGUUCUGUUGGGGAUUUUUUCCCUAACACUAGGCCAAAAAGGUUACUUUUUUACAAAUACUUCUUGUGAUGGCGAAGUCUUUCAAAAAUAUUUUUCUGAAAUACCCCAAAAAGAAUUUACCAAAUUCCAAAACUGGAUUUGCAGGAUACUUAGGGAAAAAGUACAAUCCUGUGUUCCCUAUUCCUGGUCCAAGUCUUCACCAAAAUUCAUUUACUUCAGUUCCUUUAUUUAAGCCCUGCAUUCUUACGCUUAAAGCAUUCAUGGACUAUAUAAUAGUUCAUCUAUUGCAGUCAUCUUUAAAUAGCUUAAAACCAGAAUAAUUGUAGCCUCUGUGCAAUUAUUUCCCAGAACCUCCUGCUGUGAAUAUUCAAAACUAACCAGUUAUUUCAAUGAAUUUCUAAGCCACAUAUGACUUUUUAAAAACUUAUUUUUGCCCUCAUUCUUUAUUGUUGAGUGGACUGGUUAACUGAAAACAGAUUAAGCUGAGAUUUUAUUAAACAUUAUUAGAAUGUCCAAGGAAACUUAAAACACAGCAUCAUCUGAGAGAUUUUUAAUUCAAUUGGAAAAGCUAGAUUUGACUAGAGGGUGGAGCAAUUACUGAAGAAUAAGCAAAAUAUUCUGGGACAGAUAUUAAAGUCUUUAAAAAUUUCAUUUUCAUUCCCUAACUUUUACAAUGAAAUUAUCUCCAAGAUAAUUAUGCUUUCUGCACCUAAUUUCCUAAU